GAUGAACGCUGGCGGCGUGCUUAACACAUGCCAGUCGAACGGGAAACCUUUUAUUGAAGCUUCGGCAGAUUUAGCUGGUUUCUAGUGGCGGACGGGUGAGUAACGCGUGGGUAACCUGCCUUAUACAGGGGGAUAACAACCAGAAAUGGUUGCUAAUACCGCAUAAGCGCACAGGACCGCAUGGUCCGGUGUGAAAAACUCCGGUGGUAUAAGAUGGACCCGCGUUGGAUUAGCUAGUUGGCAGGGUAACGGCCUACCAAGGCGACGAUCCAUAGCCGGCCUGAGAGGGUGAACGGCCACAUUGGGACUGAGACACGGCCCAGACUCCUACGGGAGGCAGCAGUGGGGAAUAUUGCACAAUGGGGGAAACCCUGAUGCAGCGACGCCGCGUGAAGGAAGAAGUAUCUCGGGAUGUAAACUUCUAUCAGCAGGGAAGAUAGUGACGGUACCUGACGAAGAAGCCCCGGCUAACUACGUG
rnacentral:rRNA from 1 species